AUGCGCUACUACCUGCCCCUCUUCGGCUCCUUCGACAACUUCCUCCGGGCGCUCCAGCGCUCGUCCUGCCUACUCUCGUCGGACCUCGGCAAGGUGAUCAAGCCCAAUGUCGUGUUCCUGCGGGAGUGCGGCCUAAGUGACUGCGAUAUUGUCAAGCCGAGUGUCCCUGUGUCGAGGAUGCUGACCACCAACCCGGAGCGCGUCCGUGCGAUGGUGGCAUGUGCUGAAAGAUUAGGCGUGCCGCGUGGCUCUGGGAUGUUCAGGCAAGCGCUGCAGGCUGUCGCGUUUCUCAAUGAGGACAAGAUCGCCGCCAAAGUGGACUACUUGAAGAACACCUUCAGGUGGUCUGCUGCUGAGGUGGUCAUUGCUUUGUCUAAGGCUCCGAUACUGCUCAGGAUUUCUAAGGACAUGCUACAGCGCAAGUCCAAGUUCCUGCUAUCUGAGGUGGGGUUGGAGCCCAUGUACAUUGCUCAUCGACCGAUAAUUACUUGUCUUAGCCUGGAGGGCCGGGUCAGGCCCCGGUACUAUGUUCUCAAGUUCCUCAAGGAAAAUGGAUUGGUAGAUCGCGAGCUGAGCUUCUAUACUGCAGUCAGUACGCCUGAGAAGUAUUUCGUGGACAAGUACAUAUGCCCUCACAAGAAAGCUGCACCACACCUCGCUGAGGACUAUGCAACCGCUUGCAAAGGGGAGAUACCAACUAAUUUCUUGUUUAGAUGA
rnacentral:rRNA from 1 species